AGAGGUUAACAUUUGCAUUUUCUUUUUCAAAUCAGAGUGGUCUUUUUUCAUGAGCUCAUUGUUGGUACCCUCCAUAUGUUUUUCUGUUUCUUGGAUGCUUGGUUUUAUAUUUGUUAGAUCUAUGUUUUUUGUCUUUUAAUAGUUUCUGACUUUGGGUAUUUUCUCAUCCGAGAAUGGCAUAAAUUUAGUUGCUUUGUUUACGAAGGCAUUACUCCGCAUUUAAUCUGAAUACUUCCAUUUCCCAGCAUCCCAUAUGUGUUUGUGUUUCUUGGAUGCUUGGUUUUGUGUAAGUUAGAUCUGUAUUUUUAGUAUUUUAAUGGUUGCUGACUUUGGGUUUUUUCUCAUCUGAGAAUGGCAUAAACUUAGUAGUUGUAGCUUUGUUUGCGAAUGCAUUAGUCUGCAUUAAAGGAAACAUUCAACAACAAAAAAUAUCUACGGAUUCCACUGCAACUUCAUCUAGAUUUGAAGCUUUCGGAUCUUCAAAAUAAAGCUUUAGAAGCUUUCUCUACUAUAUUGAAAAUAAAUUAAGCUUAGUAUGAUUUUUUUACCACUAAACUGAUCUAUGACACGAGUUUUUUUCUUUCCUUCUUGCAUAUAAUGAUGGGGUUCAUGUUUUCUCUACCCCUAUUCAUCCUACUCCUAGACUUAUUUAGUGGUUAAAAAAAAUAAGAAAAGUUUUCUCCGCAAAUGAACAAUUUUUUAGGAAAGAGCAGAGAAAACAUGAAUGUUUAUGUCAACAAAAAGGUCAUAGAGAUCACAAAUCUUGUCCUCUAAUGUGAGAAAAUUACCUUUCUCACAUAAUUUUCUCACAUUAUAUAUCUUCUUGAAACAUUCUAUUUUUAAUGACUUUGUUUUAAUUUUUCAUUUUGAGUGUCUUCAAGAUAUGCCAUGCUUGUCCCCAUGGAACUUAGUGCAAAUCAGUCCCCGUGUUUGAUUUGAGCCUUGGCCUACUAAUUGUGGAAAGGGAGAUGGGUAUAUACAUUGAAGGUUCAACAUGCAAAUGACACUGCAGCUGAGAAAUUUGGAGUCGAUCAAUUUGAGGAAUUUGAUAGUUGAUGAGUGUCACUGUAGCUGUUUUGAUAAUGGUUUAAUGUGUGGCUGUAAAUGGUUGAAUGGGUUUAGUUUUGUUUAUGGGUAAAUGUGUGCAUGUAAAAUGGUUGAAUGGGAUAUGAAAACUAUUUUUGUUUUGAGUUACUAGAGCCGAAUGGUCGGUCUUAAAGAAUACAAAUUUAUGGUGGACUUGUAAGAGUUAAUAUGUAAAUGAAAUACAAAAGUUCCUGAUCA